rnacentral:rRNA from 1 species
AUUGAACGCUGGCGGCAUGCCUUACACAUGCAAGUCGAACGGUAACGGGCCUUCGGGUGCCGACGAGUGGCGAACGGGUGUGUAAUACAUCGGAACGUGCCCGAUCGUGGGGGAUAACGAGGCGAAAGCUUUGCUAAUACCGCAUACGAUCUACGGAUGAAAGCAGGGGACCGCAAGGCCUUGCGCGGACGGGGCGGCCGAUGGCAGAUUAGGUAGUUGGUGGGAUAAAAGCUUACCAAGCCGACGAUCUGUAGCUGGUCUGAGAGGAUGAUCAGCCACACUGGGACUGAGACACGGCCCAGACUCCUACGGGAGGCAGCAGUGGGGAAUUUUGGACAAUGGGCGCAAGCCUGAUCCAGCCAUGCCGCGUGCAGGAUGAAGGCCUUCGGGUUGUAAACUGCUUUUGUACGGAACGAAAAGCCUUCUUUUAAUACAGGAGGGUCAUGACGGUACCGUAAGAAUAAGCACCGGCUAACUACGUG